rnacentral:tRNA from 1 species
AGGGUUGUGGCUCAGCGGUAGAGUACUCGCCUCCCAUGUAUGAGACCUGGGUUCGAUCCUCAGCAUCACGU